UAAGACUUGCAGGACACUAACCUACAUUUUUUGAAUGCAAAUCAAAUUUUUUAAUUAAAACAAAGUCU
rnacentral:tRNA from 1 species